rnacentral:misc_RNA from 1 species
GCCAUUUGUCGCUGCAGUCAGCCUCUCUCUGGGUUCAGAGCUCGCUGUGUGGAGGACGAACAAAUGCUUCAUUGUAUACUCAAGUCCAACCCCAGCAAAAACUCCGACUUCAUGUAUGUUGUCGAUACCCGGCCAAAGAUUAAUGCCAUGGCCAAUAAGGCAGCUGGUAAAGGCUACGAGAAUGACAACCAUUACACAGACAUCAAGUUCCAGUUCCUGGGGAUAGAGAACAUCCACGUCAUGAGGGCCAGCCUCCAGAAGCUGCUGGACGUGUGUGAGAUGAAGAACCCGACCAUGUCUGCUUUCCUACAGGGUCUAGAGGCCAGUGGCUGGCUGAAGCACAUCAAGGCCGUCGUCGACACCUCGGUCUUCAUAGCUGAGGCUGUUAAGGGCGGCCACAGUGUACUGGUUCACUGCUCGGACGGCUGGGACAGGACGGCCCAGACCUGCUCUCUCUCCAGUCUGAUCCUGGAUCCCUACUACAGAACCAUUCAGGGAUUCCAGGCACUAAUAGAGAAGGAAUGGCUGUCGUUCGGUCACAAGUUCACGGAUCGCUGCGGAUUCCUGGAUACUCCGGACAACAAGGAGGUGUCCCCGGUGUUCACACAGUUUGUGGAGGCCACGUGGCAGGUCAUGCAGCAGUAUCCUUGCGCGUUCCAGUUCAACGAACGCUUCCUCCUGACAAUUCACGACCAUGUUUACUCUUGUCAGUUCGGAACAUUUAUAGGGAACUGUGAGAAGGACCGACUAGAUCUCAGAUUAAAUGAAAGAACUUAUUCUCUCUGGGGACAUAUCAACAAAAACAUGUCAGAGUUCCUGAACCCUCUCUACAAAAAAGAGUACGAAGUCUCCCAUCCAAUGCUCUCUCCCAAUACCAGCUCCCAGUGCUUCAAAUUUUGGAAGGGUAUGUACCAGAGAUAUGAUGUGGGGCUUCACCCCAGGGAGCAGAUAGCGGACGUCCUGAGUGCUGCCAAAGAUCACUCUGACUCUCUGGAGGACCACGUCAGUCUACUGGAGAAGAGAGUGACACAGAUCUGUCGGAUACUUGGGAAAUCUGAAGAUGUGAUCCAGAAAAAACUGAACGGGGGAGUGUCCAUGGAGUCACUGGAUAAUCUGAAGGAGACAGAAGACAAUAUCAUGGAAGAGAAGUCCGAAAAAAUUCCAAUCAAUGGAAAUUGUGACAUAAAACCAGAACAGAGCUCUAAGGACACGGGCGAUCUUAUCGACUUUAGGAGUGACAACGAGUCGGGGUUUGACGAGUCCAGCUCCCAGAUGUCAAAAUCAGGUCACGGUGACCUAAAUACAGUGAGGACAGUUCCAUUGUUGGAAAUGUGGUGAGGUGUUCUGUAUGCGCUGCAUUGCCAAAAACAUCCCGCUUCCUGGUCAUGCAACAAGGCGCCCCGUUCCGGUCUGCCGACCUUGCUACAAGGAAAUACGACACUCGCCUUCUAUGGAAUUCCCACCGCAGACAAACUCCCUGGACAGUUGAUGUCUGUAUGAUGGAGACCGCUAGUGUGCAAUCUUAUUUAUUUUGUAGCUCAUCAAUCUGUUACUCCAAUGUGUGUGAGAGAAAGAGAGAGAGAGAGCUGUAUUAGAUAGUAUCUUCUGAAAAUAUUUAUCAUUGAAAAGUCCCUCAGCUGUUGAUACAUUCGAAACUAUCAUAAUUAAGAAGAGAAUAAAUGCAACACACAAACACACUACAAUUUAAAGUCUUGUAACAGUGGGUCUUUUUUUGGAGUGUUCAGUGACUCUCAUUUCAGGGAUAGUAGUUUUACUGUUUUGUACUGUACGUGACUGAUGUCAUUCACCUCAUCCAGCUUGCAGCGAGCCACACGACACAGUGGGUCUCUUGUAGUUCCCUGGUCAUUAUGUUUACCCCGUCACAACGUACUGUACUGAUUGUGAGAUUUAUCUGUGAUUUUGUAGACAGCACGAUUAUCAUGAGAAGUUUUGUUUAUCUCUUUAUUUUCAACUCUGUUACAAUGUUAUGUUUUGAAGAAAAACAGCUUCCUAGUAAAGAUAUUAACCUAAAAG